AAAUGAUUAGAGGCCUUAGAGUUGAAACAACUUUAACCUAUUCUCAAACUUUAAAUGGGUAAGAUAUCCCGGUUGCUCGAAACGCCUUUCUUCCCGCGAGGGAGGGUCCGGGGGUUUCUACGACCCCCCGGACCGGCCGAACCGGGAUAGGGACCGAAUGGCGAGUUCUUAGUGGGCCAUUUUUGGUAAGCAGAACUGGCGAUGCGGGAUGAACCGAACGUCGGGUUAAAGUGCCGGAACGCACGCUCAUCAGAACCCAGAAAAGGUGUUGAUUCAUUCAGACAGCAGGACGGUGGCCAUGGAAGUCGGAACCCGCUAAGGAGUGUGUAACAACUCACCUGCCGAAUGGAUUAGCCCUGAAAAUGGAUGGCGCUCAAGCGUGCUACUCAUACCCGACCUC
rnacentral:rRNA from 1 species